GACGAACGCUGGCGGCGCGCUUAACACAUGCAAGUCGUGCGGUGUCGAAGGCAAGUCUUACGACAAGCCUUCGACACAGCGGCGAACGGGUGAGUAACACGUGAGUAGCUGUCCUAAGGAGGGGGAUAACGCCUGGAAACGGGUGCUAAUACCCCAUAUGCCUCGCAAGAGGUGAAAGUGUACUUGCUACAGCCUUAGGGUGUGCUCGCGGCCUAUCAGCUAGUUGGUGAGGUAACGGCUCACCAAGGCCAAGACGGGUAGCCGGCCUGAGAGGGUGUACGGCCACACUGGAAUUGAGAUACGGUCCAGACUCCUACGGGAGGCAGCAGUGGGGAAUCUUGGGCAAUGGGCGAAAGCCUGACCCAGCGACGCCGCGUUGGGGAUGAAGCCCUUCGGGGCGUAAACCCAUGUUGUAGGGGACGAAGAAAGUGACGGUACCCUACGAGAAAGCCCCGGCCAACUACGUG
rnacentral:rRNA from 1 species